GAUGAACGCUAGCGAUAGGCUUAACACAUGCAAGUCGAGGGGCAGCACAAGGUAGCUUGCUAUCUGGGUGGCGACCGGCGCACGGGUGCGUAACGCGUAUGCAACUUGCCCUAUACAGGAGGAUAACCCGUCGAAAGACGGACUAAUACUGCGUAUGCUCACAACUUGGCAUCAAGUGGUGAGGAAAGAAAUUCGGUAUAGGAUAGGCAUGCGUCCCAUUAGCUUGUUGGUGAGGUAACGGCUCACCAAGGCAACGAUGGGUAGGGGAACUGAGAGGUUUAUCCCCCACACUGGUACUGAGACACGGACCAGACUCCUACGGGAGGCAGCAGUGAGGAAUAUUGGUCAAUGGGCGCGAGCCUGAACCAGCCAAGUCGCGUGAAGGAUGACUGUCUUAUGGAUUGUAAACUUCUUUUAUGCGGGAAUAACAAGAGUCACGUGUGACUCCCUGCAUGUACCGUAUGAAUAAGCAUCGGCUAACUCCGUG
rnacentral:rRNA from 1 species